CUACGUGCCAGCAGCCGCGGUAAUACGUAGGGCGCGAGCGUUGUCCGGAAUUAUUGGGCGUAAAGAGCUCGUAGGCGGCUGGUCGCGUCUGUCGUGAAAUCCUCUGGCUUAACUGGGGGCUUGCGGUGGGUACGGGCCGGCUUGAGUGCGGUAGGGGAGACUGGAACUCCUGGUGUAGCGGUGGAAUGCGCAGAUAUCAGGAGGAACACCGAUGGCGAAGGCAGGUCUCUGGGCUGUAACUGACGCUGAGAAGCGAAAGCAUGGGGAGCGAACAGGAUUAGAUACCCUGGUAGUCCAUGCCGUAAACGUUGGGCACUAGGUGUGGGGGACAUUCCACGUUUUCCGCGCCGUAGCUAACGCAUUAAGUGCCCCGCCUGGGGAGUACGGCCGCAAGGCUAAAACUCAAAGAAAUUGACGGGGGCCCGCACAAGCGGCGGAGCAUGCGGAUUAAUUCGAUGCAACGCGAAGAACCUUACCAAGGCUUGACAU
rnacentral:rRNA from 1 species